rnacentral:lncRNA from 12 species
CUCAGAUCGAGAUCCUGGGGUCCUGGGAUCAAACCCAGCAUCAGGCUCCUCGAAGGGAGCCAGCUUCUCCCUCUGCCUAUGUCUCUGCCUCUCUCUGUGUGUCUCUCAUGAAUAAAUCAAUAAAUAAAUAGCAGAAGAGGCAGUGGCCUAGCUGCCAGUGGAAGGCAGGCACCCCAUCUCUUCCAUCUCUAGAAAUGUUCCAGGGCUCUUAUUACAUAAAGAUGAGGGGGUCAUGUUUGAAAUGCCUGGGGGCUGCUUCUAUCUGCUUUCAGGGUCCCAGGAUGUGGCUUAGGGGCAUCCAGGGUGGAAGCAGGAGGCGCUGCAGUGGGGCUUUGGCCCCCUGAGGGGGAGCUGCCCUCUAACAGGCCUGAGGGAUUGUGGGGUGGCCAUGAGGUUCCCAUUCCUCUCAAUGUCAAGCACAGACCUAGUGCCUGGGGCGCUCAACACUUGUCUUUUGCUUUUGUCCCUUUUCCAGCAUCUAAGGACCCUCUCUCCCAGAAGCUCACCUGCCAUGGUCAGCCAGAAGUACCUGAGUACCACACCUUUACCUAUCCAAACCAAGCCUGGGCAGAUGCAGAGACCUGCUGGUACAGCUGGCCUGCGAGGGGAUAGUGCUCUCAGGUGCCCCUGGAUCUACUCAGCUACAGAAUCUGAGACAGUCAUUUCACAGACUCGGAGUCUUCCAGGUGGAAGAGACGUGGAGGGCUUCCAGCCAGGGGAGGUGGACAUGUGGCUUGGCAUGACUGCCUCCUGUACCUGAAGAUGUAUCUUCAUUUUGUUUUGGAACAACACAAGAUUAAUCCCACUACCAGGUUCUUAUUAUCUUUUUUCAGUUUAAACAGUCUUCGUGGCUCAUCCUUGAGCAUGGUGUCCAACCCUUGGCUGUCCCUGUCAUUCUUCUCUCAUACUCCAGCUCACCAAGAUUCCUCCUGAAGGGUGGUGUCCCAGGACUGGGGACGGAUGUGGACUGACCUGACCAGCCGGACCUCAUGCUGGGAGCUAUCAUUCCAUGAAUGUGAUCAAAGAUGGGGGUUUGGGUAACCUGACUCACAUACUCCCCUUACUUUUUUUUUUUUUAGAGGUUCUAUUUAUUUAUUCAUGAGAGACAGAGAAAGAGAGAGAGAGAGAGAGAGAGAGAGAGAGGCAGAGACACAGGCAGAGGGAGAAGCAGGCUCCAUGCAGGGAACCCGAUGUGGGACUGGAUCUCGGGUCUCCAGGAUCAGGCCUCAGGCCGAAGGCAGCGCUAAACUGCUGAGCACCCCCGGGGCUGCCCGCGCACUCCCCUUUCGUCUCUCCCAGAAUGAAUUCCUCUACCAAAAUGUGGGAAUGACAAGUUCCACCUCCCACUGGAUCAUGGGAACAGUGGGUGUGUGAGUAACUGCGCAAAGCUGUGAGCUUCUGGGGAGAAAAGUUACUAGCCAGACUUCGAUCCAUUAUGAGCUGGUUGAGGAAAGCCAGGGCUUGGGAAAGGGCUGAGAGCAUCAGGCAACUUAGCCAGGUGCUUAUCUAGUGACUUCUUUCUAUUGUACUGGAGUCAAAUCUGAACUUGGGAGGAGGAGGCCCUGUGGGGGCGGGAAGGCCGUUUUGCUGCCUCUCAGCAGCGGCCAGAAGCCUGCCCUGCGGACAGCCCACCUCCUCUCUCUCUUCCCUGGGGAUGAAUCAGCGGGUGGGAAGCACUGAUGGCCUGGGAAAGGAGACAAUUCAGCUGACCAGCAAGGCUGACGUCUCUCCACUCAGCCACAGCUGAAUGCAGGUACUGUUCUUUCUGUCGAGGCAACCUCCAGUGCUGAACUGCCGCUUUAAUCCAAAUAUAGCUCACACUGCUCUACUGCAUCUGCCCAAACUGGCAAAGUGGCUGUCCCCGAAAGUGCCAAGGCUGUCCGGUCUCCCAGCAAACGCCUCGGACUGAUGCGGAGCCAUUUAUAGCAAGAAGUGGUGAGAGGUAACUUAUUCUGCUGUGGAAGGAGCCAGAGCCCAGGGCUCCUCCCAGGGAGAGCUUCACACUCCACAACAGGGUGGGGAGCUACUUUCCCACGCCCCUUCGCUCGCCUGCUGAAGCCGCACGCGAGCGCCAGGCUCCCAGCGCACACUGAGUCAGCACCCUGGAGAGCUGCCCCGCCCCUCCCUGACCAGUGAGGUCAGCACAGAUGCUGCACCCCCCCCCCCCCCAGGAGGAGUGGCAACUGCAGCCACUGGGCAAAGCUCCCAAGAGCUGAGUUAAAGGAACACCCCUGAAGGCUGUGGAAAGCUCCAGAACCCAAGAAGCGCAGGGAACAGGAUUCCAAAGAGCAUGUUUGCCGACAAAAUCUCAUCGUAGGGGACGCCUGGGGGGCUCAGAUUGGGUUUUCUGCGGUUUGAGUGUUGAGCAGUUGAGCGUCUGCCUUCAGCUCGGGGCAUGAUCCCAGGUCCUGGGUUAGAGUUCCAGGCCGGGCCUCCUGCGAGGACACCGCUUCUCCCUCCCUCUGCCUGUGUCUCUGCCUCUCUCUGUGUCUCUCGUGAAUAAAGAAUAAAAUCUUAAAUAAAUAAAUAAACA